AUUGAACGCUGGCGGCAGGCCUAACACAUGCAAGUCGAACGGUAGCACAGAGAGCUUGCUCUCGGGUGACGAGUGGCGGACGGGUGAGUAACAUCCGGGAAACUGCCCGAUGGAGGGGGAUAACUACUGGAAACGGUAGCUAAUACCGCAUAACGUCGCAAGACCAAAGUGGGGGACCUUCGGGCCUCACACCAUCGGAUGUGCCCAGAUGGGAUUAGCUAGUAGGUGGGGUAAUGGCUCACCUAGGCGACGAUCCCUAGCUGGUCUGAGAGGAUGACCAGCCACACUGGAACUGAGACACGGUCCAGACUCCUACGGGAGGCAGCAGUGGGGAAUAUUGCACAAUGGGCGCAAGCCUGAUGCAGCCAUGCCGCGUGCAUGAAGAAGGCCUUCGGGUUGUAAAGUACUUUCAGCGGGGAGGAAGGCGGUGAAGUUAAUAGCUUCACCGAUUGACGUUACCCGCAGAAGAAGCACCGGCUAACUCCGUGCCAGCAGCCGCCGUAA
rnacentral:rRNA from 1 species